GCUUGUCUCAAAGAUUAAGCCAUGCAUGUUCAAGUAUAGCAAGUGUACAGUGAAACUGCGAAUGGCUCAUUAAAUCAGUUAUAAUUUAUUUGAUAGUGAAAUUGUACAUGGAUAACCGUGGCAAUUCUAGGGCUAAUACAUGCGUCAAUGGUCGGUCGACCAGUAUUUAUUAGAUACAAAGCCAGCCGUCAGGAUCAGGUGAAUCAUGAUAACCAAACGAAUCGCAAGCGCAAGCGGCGAUGGUUCAUUCAAAUUUCUGCCCUAUCAACUUUCGAUGGUAGUCGCCGUGCCUACCAUGGUGACCACGGGUGACGGGGAAUCAGGGUUCGAUUCCGGAGAGGGAGCCUGAGAAACGGCUACCACAUCCAAGGAAGGCAGCAGG
rnacentral:rRNA from 1 species